UACGUAGGGUGCGAGCGUUGUCCGGAAUCAUUGGGCGUAAAGAGCGUGUAGGCGGCCAUUUAAGUCCUGCGUGAAAUCCUGCGGCUCAACCGCAGGCGGUCGUGGGAAACUGGAUGGCUAGAGUGCGGGAGAGGAGAGUGGAAUUCCUGGUGUAGCGGUGGAAUGCGCAGAUAUCAGGAAGAACACCCGUGGCGAAGGCGGCUCUCUGGAACGCAACUGACGCUGAGACGCGAAAGCGUGGGGAGCAAACAGG
rnacentral:rRNA from 1 species